ensembl:lncRNA
GGGGUAGAGUGCAUAUGUCAUACAUUUUGGCAAAGCUUUCAUGUACAGUACAAAUGUUUGUGUAUGUGUGUGUGUGUGUGUGUGUGUGUGUGUGUGAGAGAGAGAUGUGUGUGUGGGUUGGGGGGAUUGUGUGUGUGUGGGUUGGGGGGGUAACUCUUUGAAGGACUCAUUCUGUUUUAUUAAAAGGAGAGGUUGACCUGUUAUCACCGUUCUAGAGACUACAUCCUGUCAAUCUAUUAAAGGAGAGGUUUCUGUUAAUCUAUUAAAGGAGAGGUUUCAGAGACCUGACCGUUCUAGAGACUACAUCCUGUCAAUCCAUUAAAGGAGAGGUUUCUGUCAAUAUAUUGAUCCAUUCAUAAAUUGAUUAAAAGUCUGAAGAGAUAAAUAUACGUUGAUGUCACCAGAAAGAGGUCCGUGAUGAUGAUGUUUUGAGAAGCCAGUCCCCUUCUACAGUAUUUACAGUUGAAGUCAGUUCCCCUUCUACAGUAGUUACAGUUGAAGUCAGUUCCCCUUCUACAGUAUUUACAGUUGAAGUCAGUUUGAAGUCAGUUCCCCUUCUACAGUAUUUACAGUUGAAGUCAGUUCCCCUUCUACAGUAUUUACAGUUGAAGUCAAUUCCCC